CAUGGAGCUGAAAUCAGUCGAAGAUACCAGCUGGCUGCAACUGUUUAUUAAAAACACAGCACUGUGCAAACACGAAAGUGGACGUAUACGGUGUGACGCCUGCCCGGUGCCGGAAGGUUAAUUGAUGGGGUUAUCCCUCGGGAGAAGCUCUUGAUCGAAGCCCCGGUAAACGGCGGCCGUAACUAUAACGGUCCUAAGGUAGCGAAAUUCCUUGUCGGGUAAGUUCCGACCUGCACGAAUGGCGUAAUGAUGGCCAGGCUGUCUCCACCCGAGACUCAGUGAAAUUGAACUCGCUGUGAAGAUGCAGUGUACCCGCGGCAAGACGGAAAGACCCCGUGAACCUUUACUAUAGCUUGACACUGAACACUGGUCCUUGAUGUGUAGGAUAGGUGGGAGGCUUUGAAGUGUGGACGCCAGUCUGCAUGGAGCCGCCCUUGAAAUACCACCCUUUAAUGGCUGGUGUUCUAACGUGGGCCCGUAAUCCGGGUUGCGGACAGUGUCUGGUGGGUAGUUUGACUGGGGCGGUCUCCUCCUAAAGAGUAACGGAGGAGCACGAAGGUCAGCUAAUCCUGGUCGGACAUCAGGAGGUUAGUGCAAUGGCAUAAGCUGGCUUGACUGCGAGCGUGACGGCGCGAGCAGGUGCGAAAGCAGGUCAUAGUGAUCCGGUGGUUCUGAAUGGAAGGGCCAUCGCUCAACGGAUAAAAGGUACUCCGGGGAUAACAGGCUGAUACCGCCCAAGAGUUCAUAUCGACGGCGGUGUUUGGCACCUCGAUGUCGGCUCAUCACAUCCUGGGGCUGAAGUAGGUCCCAAGGGUAUGGCUGUUCGCCAUUUAAAGUGGUACGCGAGCUGGGUUUAGAACGUCGUGAGACAGUUCGGUCCCUAUCUGCCGUGGGCGCUGGAGAACUGAGGGGGGCUGCUCCUAGUACGAGAGGACCGGAGUGGACGCAUCACUGGUGUUCGGGUUGUCAUGCCAAUGGCACUGCCCGGUAGCUAAAUGCGGAAGAGAUAAGUGCUGAAAGCAUCUAAGCACGAAACUUGCCCCGAGAUGAGUUCUCCCUGACUCCUUGAGAGUCCUGAAGGAACGUUGAAGACGACGACGUUGAUAGGCCGGGUGUGUAAGCGCAGCGAUGCGUUGAGCUAACCGGUACUAAUGAACCGUGAGGCUUAACCUUACAACGCCGAAG
rnacentral:rRNA from 1 species